UACGAAGGGGGCUAGCGUUGUUCGGAAUUACUGGGCGUAAAGCGCACGUAGGCGGACUACUAAGUCAGGGGUGAAAUCCCGGGGCUCAACCCCGGAACUGCCUUUGAUACUGAUAGUCUCGAGUCCGGAAGAGGUGAGUGGAAUUCCGAGUGUAGAGGUGAAAUUCGUAGAUAUUCGGAGGAACACCAGUGGCGAAGGCGGCUCACUGGUCCAUUACUGACGCUGAGGUGUGAAAGCGUGGGGAGCAAACAGG
rnacentral:rRNA from 1 species